rnacentral:rRNA from 1 species
GAUGAACGCUGGCGGCGUGCUUAAUACAUGUAAGUCGAACGAGGAGCUUUGCUUCGGUAAAACUCCGAGUGGCGAACGGGUGAGUAACGCGUUGGUUACCUGCCCCGAAGUGGGGGAUAACGGCUCGAAAGGGCUGCUAAUACCCCAUGUGGUCGUAGAGGUUAGAGACUCUACGUCUAAAGGCGUAAUUCGCUUCGGGAUGGGCCUGCGUCCCAUCAGCUAGUUGGUAGGGUAAUGGCCUACCAAGGCGACGACGGGUAGGGGGCCUGAGAGGGUGACCCCCACAUUGGCACUGAACGAACGGCCGAAACAACCUACGGGAGGCUG